CCUACGGGGGUCAGCAGUGGGGGAUAUUGCACAAUGGGGGAAACCCUGAUGCAGCGACGCCGCGUGUGGGAAGACGGUCCUCUGGAUUGUAAACCACUGUCCCCAGGGACGAAGAUGACGGUACCUGGGGAGGAAGCUCCGGCUAACUACGUGCCAGCAGCCGCGGUAAUACGUAGGGAGCGAGCGUUGUCCGGAAUUACUGGGUGUAACGGGAGCGUAGGCGGGACUGCAAGUUGGGUGUCAAAUCUACCGGCUCAACCGGUAGCCGCACUCAAAACUGCAGUUCUUGAGUGAAGUAGAGGCAGGCGGAAUUCCUAGUGUAGCGGUGAAAUGCGUAGAUAUUAGGAGGAACACCAGUGGCGAAGGCGGCCUGCUGGGCUUUUACUGACGCUGAGGCUCGAAAGUGUGGGGAGCAAACAGGAUUAGAUACCCCGGUAGUC
rnacentral:rRNA from 1 species